UUGCUCACUUCAGCAGUACAUAUACUAAAAUUGGAACAAUACAGAGACGAUUAUUAGCAUAGUUCCUGAGCAAGGAUGAUACACAAAUUAGUGAAGUAUUCCGUAUUUUU
rnacentral:snRNA from 1 species